AACGAACGCUGGCGGCAUGCCUAACACAUGCAAGUCGAACGAGACCUUCGGGUCUAGUGGCGCACGGGUGCGUAACGCGUGGGAACCUGCCCUUAGGUUCGGAAUAACUCCCCGAAAGGGGUGCUAAUACCGGAUAAUGUCUUCGGACCAAAGAUUUAUCGCCUUUGGAUGGGCCCGCGUUGGAUUAGCUAGUUGGUAGGGUAAAAGCCUACCAAGGCGACGAUCCAUAGCUGGUCUGAGAGGAUGAUCAGCCACACUGGGACUGAGACACGGCCCAGACUCCUACGGGAGGCAGCAGUGGGGAAUAUUGGACGAGGGGCGAAAGCGUGAUCCAGCAAUGCCGCGUGAGUGAUGAAGGCCUUAGGGUUGUAAAGCUCUUUUACCCGGGAUGAUAAUGACAGUACCGGGAGAAUAAGCUCCGGCUAACUCCGUG
rnacentral:rRNA from 1 species